rfam:Picea glauca, whole genome shotgun sequence.
ACUAAUGAUGAUUUGUCAGACGUUUGGUGUUGCAAUUGGUGCCAAGUCCUUGAUAUCAAGGAGAACCUACUUGGUGUUUCUGUUGCAUCUCAUGACAUCAUUGAACUUUUACUGAGGC